rnacentral:tRNA from 1 species
UGUCUUGUGGUGUAAUUGGAAGCAUACUCGACUUGUAUUCGAGAGGUCCAGGGUCCGAGCCCCGGCGAGAGUA